UACGGAGGGUGCAAGCGUUAUCCGGAAUCACUGGGUUUAAAGGGUGCGUAGGCGGUGUGAUAAGUCAGUUGUGAAAUACCCCGGCUCAACCGGCGGAACUGCGAUUGAUACUGUUACACUUGAAUCAGGUUGAGGUAGGCGGAAUGUGACAUGUAGCGGUGAAAUGCUUAGAUAUGUCAUAGAACACCGAUUGCGAAGGCAGCUUGCUGGACCUGAAUUGACGCUGAGGCACGAAAGCGUGGGGAGCAAACAGGAUUAGAUACCCCCGUAGUCC
rnacentral:rRNA from 1 species